CCCGUGUGACAAUCACGGACCCGGACUCGUAGGCAAAACCCCACACACGCUUCUCAAGCAAGGAUAUCCACGGGGGCUACAACAACAGGAUCUUCUCGUAUCUGAGGAAAAGCCAGUCUUGAAGCAAGGAAUAUGGUCAAGAGUCAUCUGGACUCUGGAGAGAUGGACAAGGUAAGCCAGUGGCUCCCAAAGCAUAUCCCCCCAGCCUAGCUGAAGCAGCACAUGGUCUGACUUACCUGGUCAAGGAAGGAAUGUGCAGACUAGUGAGAGCCUACUGGAGUGCACCAGGAUUCUCUUCUCAGGUGAGCAGGAAAGCCAUGCCAUGUCUUACUUGCCUGAGGAAGAACAUUGGUAAGGCAGUACCUACAGAGCCAUCCCAUAUCCCUCCUACAGAUGGUCCUUUUCAGGUUGUUUGAUAGACCAUUGGGAGGGACCAUACCAAGUUUUGUUGACCAGCACCACUUCAUUGAAGGCAGCAGAGAGAGAGACUUGGGUCCAUUCAUCGCAUUGCAAGAAAGCCAGUAACCCAGAAGAAGCUCGGGAAAUAACUGAAACGGAGGAGAUAUCACUAGAGAACCUAUUCCGGGAGAACUGAGAGGCGAUAACAGUGGACAUUUUACCCCCCCAAGCGUAUUAAGUUGUCACACAGGAUUUUUGGUUGAGAGAUGGAAGAUCGUCGGAAAUCAAUGGCCCUCAUUCCGAGUUGAUCGGUCGCAAGGCGAAUUUAGCAGAGUUACACACGCUAAGCCGCCGCCUACUGGGAGUGAAUCUUAGCUUCUUAAAAUUGCGACCGAUGUAUUCGCAAUAUUGCGAUUACUUACUACUUAGCAGUUUCUGAGUAGCUCCAGACUUACUCUGCCUGUGCGAUCAUUUCAGUGCUUGUCGUUCCUGGUUGACGUCACAAACACACCCAGCGUUCGCCCAGGCACUCCCACCGUUUCUCCGGCCACUCCUGCGUUUUUUCCGGAAACGGUAGCGUUUUCAGCCACACGCCCCUGAAACGCCGUGUUUCCGCCCAGUAACACCCAUUUCCUGUCAAUCACAUUACGAUCGCCGGAGCGAAGAAAAAGCCGUGAGUAAAAAUACUUUCUUCAUAGUAAAGUUACUUGGCGCAGUCGCAGUGCGAACUUUGCGCAUGCGUACUAAGCGGAUUUUCACUGCGAUGCGAUGAAAAAGAACGAGCGAACAACUCGGAAUGAGGGCCAAUGUUUCUCUUUUCCUAUGUUUUUAGUGUUUGCCUUUAUUUUUCCCAGGACUGCUUAUUUCUGCGAAGGUUCAGAAAGAAUAGAGUGGGGGCUUGGGACAGGCUCUUCAGGAAAUGGCGAUGUCUUGAUAGAAUCCCAGGCACAGUCUGAUACUUUGCUCAAAGCAGGAGUAAGAGGUUUGGAGAGUACGGAGUUCGUAGACAAUGUGAGGGGUUAUUGUCUGAUGAAUACUGUAUUUGUAAGUAUUGUGACCCUAUAAUUGAAGAUGAGUGCAUCCAAAGAUGUCAGUCUAGCAAUAAGGCAGAAUUUGACAGACAUCCCUUGAGUGAUUACCACUCACUAGUGGGUAAGGUCUUAAACCAAAUAGAAUGUUGGGUGUGCUCACAGGUACCUCAAGGACAAAAUAAUGUAGGCUUAUUGCCAUACCCAUAAACGUUAGAUGAGGUAGUUGAGUUACAUGGGGGGAGACCGGUGGACAGGAAAUAUAAUAUAUCUAGAUCUCCUAGCCUAAAACCCCAAUACCAUGUAGAUAAAUCCCUGAUAUGUUUAGAUUUCACCAAUUCCCAGAAACCAGGAAAUUUGGAGAUAAUAUGGAACAAUCAGACAAUGACACAUCCAGCAUAUUGAAGCUGCUCCUAUGUCUCUGUGGUGUCACCAUUAUUAUCGGUUUGGUGAUAAAAUGUGUUCAGGUGAUAAACCAGAGAAAAAGUAGGUGUGAGAGACCGGAAGAUGUUAGCACAAAUUUAACGAGCUUAAGGAGAAGCAGUACUGUAGAAGAAGACCUAGUCUAUAACCCUGAAGUGGAAGUGGUGAUCAGAUAAGGGAUACCAUGUAAAUGCCAAUAUUUGUAUGCACUGUUUUCUUCCCCCUCUCUGUGCCACUGAUUGUCGUCUCAACAAUGCCUGGAGUUGGACUUCCUAAAUAUCCUUCAUAGGUUGGAUGCACACUCACGACUUACCCAUGGGCCUUACAUACCCGCUGAGUGUAUAUAUAGGUUAUCUUACCCUCUUUUCUGUAAUCUCCAGUUAAUUAUACACAUAGCCGAUGCAGGAACAUUAUCCACACAUAAUGGCAUACACAUACAUCUCCCCAAAUGUAUCAUCGGGUAAAUAUGCUUCCCCAUUUAUUAAUAAGCUAAACAAGAUGAGGGCAGUUAGAAAUGCCCCUUUUGUAAAAAAGCUUGGUAUGUUUUGAUGGUACAUCUACAGACCCUUAAUAUGGGAUGAGAAGGACUAAAUGAAUACUUUGCAGACCUUGAAGCUUUUGUAGAAUCAAGACUUAUUAUGGUACGAUGAUACACUCCACUCAAACACACACCCAUACAUACAUGCUUUACCUAUCCCACUAGGUUGUACAAUAAUAGAUAUAUUCCCAUCUACAAUUCUUCUAAGGUACUUACUCAAAUGUUGUGUGUACGUAUUAUAAAAUAUGAAUUAUGAAAUUUAUGUGAUAGUUUUGGGUCAAAGUCAAAUUGCAUAUUUCGAUAUUCAGAAUACACUAUGGCAUUUACUAAUGAAUGCGUCUAUGACGCAUGCAUCAAAUACGCAUACUAUAGGUAAUACGGUUGGGUGCGAAUGACCGUAUCGGCGAGUUACUGUACACAUUACGGUAGAAGAUGCAUUUGUUAAUAAAUAUCAUACUGUAACACAUAGAAAAUAUUUCUUACUUACAGAUAAUAUACAUAUAGGCACCAUCUACCCAACACACCAUUUAUAUAUAUAUUGUAACACAUGUGUAACCGUGACAAUUGCGCAAUAACGCUUAUAAAAACACACAGGGACAUAUUAUCUCCCCAUGUCUGGUAUCAAAAUGACCAUCAGUUCAUUAGCUAAAAUCCGGUCGUAGCAAAAAGACCAUAGCAUGUGGCAUUCGCAAGAUAUUAGCAAGUAUCAGAUAUGUGAACAUAAUAAUGAAUAAGUAAUUAGGUAUACAGAAACUAGUUGUCUGGUGAAACUUUGAGAACAGUAACAGUCACAUUCCUGAAGACAAUACCAUUGAAUGGGACCAAUGGACUAUCAAGAUUUGAAACUGUGUACUUUACUGACCAAUUGUAGCAGUGCAUCCCCCACUGCACAGUGGGGGCUGGAAGUGCUGUAUAAAUAUCGGACAAGCCACAGUAAGCAUUAGAUCUCCUAUCUCAAAUCAUUGUGGUUAUCUGCUGAUGACUGUGGCCUGGAUCCAGGGGGCGCCUGCAUAUGUAUUUGGUCUGUUACCUAUAAGUCCUUGUUGGUGUGUUAUACUGUACUUGCAUUUCUCUGCAUAUUUGUGUUUAUUGUUUAAUCAAUUGUUACUGCAUUCUGUAUCUGUU